rnacentral:rRNA from 1 species
GACGUAGGGUCCAAGCGUUGUCCGGAUUUACUGGGCGUAAAGAGCGCGUAGGCGGCUCGUUAAGUGUGAAGUGAAAUCUCCAGGGCUCAACCCGGAAACUGCUUUACAUACUCGCGAGCUGGAGUGAUGCAGAGGUUUGUGGAAUUCCUGGUGUAACGGUGAAAUGUGUUGAUAUCAGGAGGAACACCCAUGGCGAAGGCAGCAAACUGGGCAUCAACUGACGCUGAGGCGCGAAAGCGUGGGUAGCAAACAGG